UCAAAAUUCCAGAACCUUCGGAAUAAUUUUUCGACCCUUAAAACUAAUAAUGAACCCUUUAGUUGCCACAAUUUGCUGAAAUAGUGUCAAAGCAUCCAAGAAGCUUAAAAGCUCACCCAAAACUCAUUUGGCACUUCCCGAACACAAACCAAAUAUGCUACUAGCUUGAAAAUGACAUUUCGGACUCAAUGAAAUCGUCAGAAUUUGAAUUCGAGGUCUCCUUGCCCCGGUAUCCGAUAAGGCGUCAAGAAACUAACUUUAGGCUCAAAAACUCGAAACGCACUUGGGGCCUCUAAAAAUUCAACCAAGACUCAUUCUAGACUUAGAAUCACC
rnacentral:lncRNA from 1 species